CAGUCGCCGCGGGAAGACGGAGGAUGCAAGCGUUAUCCGGAAUGAUUGGGCGUAAAGCGUCUGUAGGUGGUUUAUUAAGUCUACUGUUAAAGCACAGGGCUCAACCCUGUAUAGGCGGUAGAAACUGGUAGGCUUGAGUAUGGUAGGGGUAGAGGGAAUUCCCGAUGUAGUGGUGAAAUGCGUUGAUAUCGGGAAGAACACCAAAGGCGAAAGCACUCUGCUGGGCCAAUACUGACACUGAGAGACGAAAGCUAGGGGAGCAAAUGGGAUUAGAGACCCCUGUAGUCCCUGUCUCUUAUAA
rnacentral:rRNA from 1 species